rnacentral:rRNA from 1 species
UACGUAGGGUGCAAGCGUUAAUCGGAAUUACUGGGCGUAAAGCGUGCGCAGGCGGUCGUGUAAGACAGAUGUGAAAUCCCCGGGCUCAACCUGGGAACUGCCUUUGUGACUGCAAGGCUUGAGUGCGGCAGAGGGGGAUGGAAUUCCGCGUGUAGCAGUGAAAUGCGUAGAUAUGCGGAGGAACACCGAUGGCGAAGGCAAUCCCCUGGGCCUGCACUGACGCUCAUGCACGAAAGCGUGGGGAGCAAACAGG